rnacentral:lncRNA from 1 species
GCUCUUGAGCAUGCUGUGCUGUAACCUGGAUUCUUUUCUUCUGCUGGAGUCUCAGUAAAACCUCUCUGAGUUACUGCAGCAGGGUCAGAGGGACAAUGUCACAGAGCCGCCCUCGGGUGAAGGUGAAUUCAUCAUUUGAUGGACUGUCUGUGGAAAGAAACCAUAUUCUAGUUCGAAUCGGUUAAGUUGGUGGUCCAUCUCAGAGAAGACUUCCUCCCAGAGCCCUGCAGAAAAGUCAGAGAUCAGUGCUUUCUUGGCCUCGUCUAAAGAAACUGAGAGAGAUGCUUGCUGGAUGGAUGACUGCAGAAGACAGUUCAUGGCUACAAACACUCUCACUGGAUAUGGUACAUCUCCCUAUAGAGAUCGCUCAGUCAGGCAUUCAUCCAAUCUACUCCUGCACCGCUCAUUACGUCGAGAUGUUGCUCAAGGCAGAGGUUCCUCUGGUUUUUUCUGCCUUCAGGAUGUCUGACUUCACUCCCUCUCAGAAGGAACCAAUCCACGGCUUCAGGGUGAGUAAUUACCUGGAGUACAUGGAGGGGCUGGAGGGCAACUACAGAUCCAUGGUGCUCUCGGACAUGAGGAGCAUCUUACCAAGGAGCAGCUAG